ensembl:lncRNA
AUGGCGGGGGGGCGAGGGGGGGCGGCUCGGUUCGGACCUGGUUCCGAGUCAGCCGCAUGCACUCCCCACUCAGACCGGCGCCUCUGGCGAACUCUCCCCCGGGUGAACGUCCGCUGUCGCCGCUCCGGAGAACCCAAGUUCUGCUCCGAGGAACCAACUCCCCGUCAGGAGGAACCGACCGGCCGGGAGCACCGGGGGCGGGAGUCCCGGUUAAAAGUGAUGUCACGGAAAGCGAGUAGGAUCCAGAGGGGGAAAAAGCUCCGGUGCGUUACCGACUCCUCCCCGCUGCACCUCCCCGGCAGAGCGCGUCCCCGCCCCGGCGUGCACCGCGCGGGCUCACCGCGAACAAGUGGGAAAGAACGGAGCGUCAGCUGGAACCCGCCGGGCAGAAAACACCCGGUUUCCCGCUCCACACAUUCCAAACUUUCCUCCAAAAUGGCGUCUGAGGGAGCUGCCAAUGUGGACCACGUGACUCCCAAAAGCCUUCCCCGUGUGACCUGCCGCCCAAUCAGGGGGGCUCACCUCCAGGGAGCGGGAGGAGGAGCAGGAGGAGCAGGAGGAGGAGAAAGGGAAAAGUUUGUGAUUAAAGAGAAGGUGAAGGAGCAAACUAAGGAAAGGAGGAGAGAUAGAAAUAAGUAAGAUAACCAAUAGAGGAGGAGGAGGAGCAGGAGGUGGAUGAAAGAAAAAAAAAAAGAGUUUCCAGCCACUUUUUACCUCAAGAGCAGCCCAACAGAAAGGUCAGAGGUCAGGCUCCCCCCAGACGAAGAUGAAUCCUCCUCUUCCUCCUCUUGUUCCUCCUCCUUGUCUCUCAUGUGCCGAGAGGCUCCGAGCCGUGGCCCAGAUUAAAGAGCCGCUCCGGCCUUUAUUUAUAGACGGCCAUGUUUAAUGGAUGACCGGCGCCAAUGGAGGCUCCAGUUAAAGGAGGAGGAGAAAGAGUACCUGCUACAGCCGGCAGCUGCUUAGCUUAGCUUAGCUUAGCUUAGCAUUUGACUUUUUACCAACAUGACAUGUGAAAAGUUUACAAAAGGUAAAUAAAAGCAGAUUGCUAAAAACCAACAAAAUCAUAAAAAGAAUAGAUAGAAAAAAAGCCUAAAAGAAACCUGGAUACGAAGAUACGAAGAUACGAAGGACAAAACAAGAGAAAAGUAUCUGAGCCACGUUUCUCAUUUCAGCGCAAAGACGUUUCCCUGUUUUCAGUCAAAUAUUCUGUUGAGUUUUGUGUUUUCAGUCAGACUGACCGCGUUAAUGCUGUGUGUAGAUAUGAGCUCAUAUUUGUGAACGUAUAUGUGUGUGUGUGUGUGUGUGUGUGUGUGCGUGUGUGUGUGUGUGUGUGUGUGUGUGUGUGUGUGCUCCAACAUGUGUCACGGCUCCCGCUGCCAAAAUCCAGAUUUAUGCCAAGAUUAAUUAUGAGCAUGUUGUCCAGAUCGGGAUAAAAACGGACAUGUGCAGUAAUCACAUUGCAGCCAGUACACACACACACACACACACACGAGCCGAGGGCCUGGUGGUGUUCAGGUGGUGUUCAGGUGGAGGUGAAUUUUGCUAAAAAGCUUCACAAGUGAAUCCUAAACACCAACAGGCAGAAUGAUCAAACCACAGGUGUAAAAAGUUGACUUUCAGCAUCGGAUGAAUCUCAGGCGCGCUCAGCCUAGCUUCGCCUAGCUUAGCACGAAGGCUGGAGCAGUGGGGGGGCGUCGGCUUCUCUGGCGGACAUUCAGUCUGCGGCUUAAAGGGACCGAUUCAGUUGAUCAUGUGACGACGUCCACUUGGGUUCUGCGUUCCCCCUCAGACCUGGAUCAGAUGACUCGUGGAGGCUUUAUGUUUGGAAAAGUGAUUGAAGAGGAUUCCCGAUGUUUGAUGAAGCAACGUGUUCGUCGGCAUCUUUUACUGAAAUACAAGUAAGACCAGCAUCUAAACUCUGAAGCUACGAUGAGGAACCUCUACGGUUCAUCAUUGCUGCAACCAGAUGACAUCAUGCAGGUUCACCAGAACCCCCUCCAGCUACCAGUCCACCGUGGACAGACCCAGGU